GAGACAAAGAUUCAAGAACCACUCUUUUCAAAUCCUUGCUGAUUUUGAUUUCUCAUCCACGGAGAAACCAAGAAUCCAAAUUCAGGGAGGAGAAACCAACAGCCUUGAUCUUUUGCCUGAGCCGACCUGUUCAGUGAAGGUUGGUAUCGGAGGCGUCGGGUCUGUUUUGGGGUAAAUCGGGGCAACGGGUGGCGGAGACUGACCGACGGACGCUGUUGACAGCAGCGGCGUCGCGUCUCCCGGCAGCGACGGCGGUGGAUUCCGGCGACGAGCAGCAGCGGCAGCGGUUCAGGGGAGCAGAGCGUCUGACGGCGGCGGUGACUGCGCAGCAGUAGCGGCGUCGCGAUUUCUGUACAGCAGCGCUGAGCGACGGCUCUGAGCAGCGGCGACAGCAGCCUCUUCCCUACGAGCAGUAGCAGCAGCGGCGUCCGACGUCGUGAGGCGAACUGAAGAAGCCGACGGGAGAUUGGAAAAUUUCAGUCGACGAAGGAUAGAGAAGAGAGAAGAAGAACAUAGAGAUAGGCGUGAAGGAGAAUGGGGGGAGUAUACAUAAUUUUUGGCCUUUUGUUUUUAAAUGGAAUUGGGCUUCAUUAAUUGACAUAGGUUGAAUUAUUAAAA